GUCCCUGUAGCAUAAUGGAUAGCGCGUUGGAUCCCUAAACCAAAUAUUGUGGGCUCGAAUCCCACCUGGGAUA